UACGGAGGGUGCGAGCGUUGUCCGGAAUCAUUGGGCGUAAAGGGCGCGUAGGCGGCCGUCCCAAGCGUGCGGUGAAAGUCAGGGGCUCAACCCCUGAUCGGCCGUGCGAACUGGGGGGCUCGAGCACUGUAGAGGCAGGCGGAAUUCCGGGUGUAGCGGUGGAAUGCGUAGAUAUCUGGAGGAACACCGGUGGCGAAGGCGGCGUUCUGGACUGUUUCUGACACUGAGGAACGAAAGCCAGGGGAGCAAACGGG
rnacentral:rRNA from 1 species